GACAACGUGCCAGAGUGGUUAAUGGGUAUGACUCGAAUCCUAGAUCCGUGUGACCUAGGUAGAUAUCAUAUGGAUUCGUCCGCGUAGGUUCAAAUCCUGCCGUUGUCG
rnacentral:tRNA from 1 species